AGUUAAUGCAAAACAUAAUAAUAAAAUAAUAAUUGAAAGUAAAGGACAUUGAAAUGAAAUAAUGUCUUUCAAAGACUUUCACGCCUUUUAAACAACAAGCUGCAAAUGAAGAAAAAUACACAUUGGGAUAUAUUAAGUGUAAGUCUGUAGUGAUGUAAUAGCUUUUCUUUUGCUGUCCUAGACCAAGCCCAGUCUAUAAUCACAGAUACACUUUAUCAUUCUAUAUAAUGUUUGUAAUAUAUGUGAAUAUAUAUGCAUUUGUGCAAUGACUUUGCCAUUCCUGUUCAGCCAUCCGUUAGAGCAGGGGUUCUCAACCCAGUCCUCAGGACCCCCUACCAGUCCAGGAUUUGGGGAUUACCUGGGUGUGUCUCAGGUGUUUAGAAAAAGGGAAACACCUGGGUGUGACUCUAAGGUGUUUUUUUUUCUUUUUCUAAACACGUUAGACACACCCAGGUAAUCCCUAAACCCUGGACUGGUAGGGGGUCCUGAGGACUAACGUUGAGAGCCCCUGCGUUAGAGGAAUUGUAGAUCACAAAAAUAUGGAACCGGAAGGUUAGCUAUCUAUCAUUAGUGGAUAAGACACCAUGCGUUAGGGUUUCAAUGUAAUGCCAUACAGUUAACAUAUAUUUUCCCAUAGGAUUUAGUUUAGUUGUAAGCUUAUUUUCACCAGCCUAGCGGCUGGUGUUGAGUUUUGAGGUUUAGAGGUGACAGUUAAACAGCAGAAACAUGGUUGGAAACUAUAGAAAUCAAUUCCCAUAGAGAUUACUGAUAGCCAUUAGCAAACAUUUAGCAAGAGGCUUUAAACAGCUGGUAACACCUUGUAACAACUAGUGGAAUUGUUCAACUGGUAUUCAGCCACUACUUGCUACUAAUACUGCUGGGCUCUUUAACUCGUAGUGGCUGUAUAACAAAAAGACAACAGUGGGAACAAGCCAAAUGGAUGUCAAAGCUUGCUGCUGGCCACUGAUAACACCCUGCUGGGCCACCAGUUAAAGAAGCAGAGGCCGACUGAGAAAAUACAUACCACAAUCCUGCCAUACCCUCUACAUGGCUGCCAUUUACCCAGGCCUAGUCCCUUAAUGCGAGCAUGCAUUGCCAAAUCAGAGAAGUAUAUAGUGAGCAUCAUGGUGAGACACCUCAGUUGGUUAAAGCAUCAACUGUGGAACCUUUUCUAACCUCAAAAUUAAGGGUCCAGUUUCUAGCAGCAUCAACCUGGACUUUUGUCCUUUCCAAUGUCCGUAAAAUUAGUAUUAUUACAUAAUAAAUCUAAUAAAUCAAACACACUGAAGAUAUAAACUCUCUGUUAGAUAACUAUUGUUGUCUCUACUGUUAACAUAGUUAAUAAGAUUUGAAAGAGGAACUAGAACUGUCCUAAUUUCAACCUUUCCAAAACAUUUCUUUAUUAUCAUCAUUUAAUAAGUUUUUUUUAGGUAUUAGAUGCAGCCUUAUCCUAACAGUACUAACUUUUAAUUGUAUUUUUCUUCUUUUGAGAACAUCUAAUUUUAUCCCUCAUCCUUAAUAUCCUGUCUCUACAACUUUUUUUGUCUUUGUUUUUUUCCUUACAGUUCCUUAUUAAUUUGACAAAUAGAUAGAUAGACAGACAGAUAGAGAGACAGACAGACAAAUGAUAGAUAGAUAGAUAGAUAUAGACAGACAAAUGAUAGAUAGACAGUCAUAUUCAGAGAGAGUAGCGAGUGAGAGAGAGGUCAAGAAAUGUUGUACACAUGAGUGUAAUAAAUAGGAUAUAGCCACAUGUUACAAAUUAGACAAGUUAUGCUACAAUAUCCCAUGGUAACAUGUAUUAGUGGAAAUUGCACACAAUGCUAGUUUUGUAAAACCUACUCAGUAGACAUGUUUUACUUUUACUGCAUCACUCCGCUUGGAUGGCUGCUAUGUCAGUAAAUUUUAGCUGAUUGUCUUAGAUGAGUAUAGGCCGAAAUUCCUUCAUAUCCCAUUCACCUGCCAGAGUAACCCUGGGUCAACGUCUAUUAAUUACAAAUACUAAAUUUCCUCCCUGGUUAGAUAGCUACCCAAACAUCCCUUAACUCCUUCACUACCAAGAGCAUUUAUAUACGAGCAUCAAAUGAAUAAAUACAUAUUCCAACACAUUCCACAGAAAACUUACACCCUUGCAAAUUAAAGUUCUUUAAUUUGUUUAUAUAAACUAAUUGUGUUUGCAUAAUAAGCCCAUACUAAGACCAGUAGCUCAGCCUAGUCCAGGAGUGGAAACCUUGAGAAUAGUGAGCAUCAUGGUGCAACAGAAGCUCAAGCUGCAUCUCCAGGAGCAAUAUCCCAGCAACUGAUUGACGUACACAAGAAUUACAGAGAGACUGGUAAGUAAAUGCAUUUCAUUUUGUAUCUCUGUAGCAGAAUGACAACCACAGUUGGAGCCUUUUAGGUGCGUACCACUAGAAUAUUGUCUGUAUAAAAGUAUAGAAUUAAUACUAUGACACUGUGACAUGUCAUGAAAUUGCUUUGAUUCUAAUGUUCUAGUGCGUUUGCUGUAUGGUUCUUACUUACCGUAAUAAAAAUUGAUCAUAAAAAAUAAAUAAAAAAUAAUGUGCCUCUUUGUAUCUGUAGUCCUUUUUCAGCCACCGUGUGCUCAUAUCACUUUGCAUGUGGGACCUUCCUGCUGUGUAUAUUUUAUGUGUCGAUAACUGUUGGACUUUUUGUCUCAUAACAUUUGGGGGCAAUACAUAUGGCUUAUAUAUAUAAGAUUUUGCUUAUUUGUACAAAACACACAUUUAAGUUUUAGCUUUGAUUUGCGAACUUUUUAAUUUUUAGCGACUAACAAUGAGAGUACAUAGUUACAUGGUAAUCUAGAUUGAAAAAAGACUCAAGUCCAUGAGUUCAACCUUUUAAAAUACUUUAACAUCUUUUAAUGCUGCUGAUCCAAAAGAAAAAUCCUGAUCUGAUAUAAUGGCCAAUUAUACUUUAAAAAGAGGAUAAAAUUCCUUCUGGACGUCAUAAUGGCAAUCAUUUCUCCUUCAAUGAAAAACCUGUACACAUACAUAUUAAGUAUAUCCUUGAAGAUUCUGUUUAAAAAAAACCAAAAACAAUCAUGGCUUCUUUAAAAAUGUGUACAGAUUCUGAUAAGAGACCCUCUUUAGGCAGAUAACCAAUGUGGCGAAAGUGACCUUGCCACUGGUUUUUGGAGGGGCCUGUUUGCCAGCCUCCACCCUGCGACUAUGGCCCUGGGAUGUAUUGCCCUUUUAGGAACUGAUUUGUGGCUUAUGGAAUUGUAUUGGACUGUAUAUGGCCCUUUAAGAAAUGUAUUUGGGAAUAAUGGAUUUUUAUUGUGCUGUUUCUGUCCCUUUAAGUACUUUGGGAAAGGACCUGCAGUUUUGGAAUGGCACUUCUGAUGCAGCCGAAGUAGUCGAAGUGGCCGCCAUAAGAAAACCGAACACGUGGUGGCGGCGGCCAUUUUGAUUCAUUCGAAUGCAGUCAGCGGUGUGUGCCGUCAAACUCAUGGAACUAAAAUCCACUACAGAAUGGCACAAAUACCGCUGAAGUUUUACCUUCCCUGGAACUAAUGCAUUUUACAGUUCAUUCAACUGUUCAUUCAACAGUUCGACAAUUCGAAUGGUUGUCGUUCGUCUGUUUGAACUGACUCUAACAUGGGACAUGGGAAAUAGACCGGCCGCACAGCCUGAUUCUCUGGAACUGUUUUGGGCAUGAAAAUGUGCUUGAGGUCGGUCAUAAAAGGACUUCAGCUAACCUUUUAACCCCUGCAUGGAAUUGGCUGAAUUUUGACUAUGUUUAUAAUUAAAGUGUGCUGAAUAAUAAUAUGUCAUUUAUGAAGAUUGAAUGUAUAUUUUUAAAGUUACAGUGUAUGUGUAAAAACUGUAUUUCUCUGCCUGUGAUAAUUACAUUAACCCAUUAUAUAAGGUAAUUGUAUCACAGGCAGAGGGAAGGAUUUUGUGUGGGAGUGUCUGAGUGUAUUGUACGUAUUGAUUGGUUGUACUUCAAAAACCUGUGGGCG